UACUCACCUAUGGCAUAAUAUAAAUAUACGCAAAAUCGGAGAAAGGUUUGAAUGUUUUUCUAAUAAUGACUUUAAAAGUUGAAUUCGAAAGUUAUGAUGGUUAAGUGGUGGAGAAGAAUAAGAAACUCGUCUGUGAAUGACAUAGGAAUUUAGCACGGAGACGUUGAGAAGUCUCUUGUAUGUACCUAACCCUUGUCCGCUUUCACUCUACAGGAUUCAUGGCCAAUAUUUCUUCUAAUUCUUCAGUGACUUUGAUUGCCGUAUGUUCAAAACGUGGUGUACCAACGGGUGAUGCGGCUGUUGGGACGGAGACUGUUGUUCUGGAACAACUGGGAUGUCACCUGCUGCGCGUAUUUACUUGUUUCUUAGAUAUAUAGUACUUCGAGGUUUCGAGUACUUCGAGUGGGGUCCUCAUUGAAUAAUUCCAGUGCUCGUUCUUCCAAGGUUUCGUCUACCACUCGCAGUCUACCUGCAUCAGCGUUAUGACGCCCAUGCACACUACCCGUUGCAUACAGCCGAUGGUGUAAGCGUGGAAAUGCGCCGAAGGUGGGAUACUUAUAAUAAAAGAUGUUGGUUCUGAGAUCUUGAGAGAUUUUGGUUUUAAAUAAUUUUAUUACACUGGUAUAAUUUACAUUAAUGACACGUACAUUGAUAUCGGGACAUGGAUAUCGCUAGGGUGGAGAGAGAGGGCGCCAUGUUCUAUCUUACUCACCUAUGGCAUAAUAUAAAUAUACGCAAAAUCGGAGAAAGGUUUGAAUGUUUUUCUAAUAAUGACUUUAAAAGUUGAAUUCGAAAGUUAUGAUGGUUAAGUGGUGGAGAAAAAUAAGAAAUUUGUCUGUGAAUGACAUAGGAAUUUAGCACGGAGACGAAGUCUCUUGUAUGAAUCUAACCCUUUUCCGCUUUCACUCUACAGGAUUCAUUGCCAAUAUUUGAUCUAAUUUCUCACCCAUCAUGAUAUUGUAAUCCAAUAUCAGCAUGGGUUUGGAGGAUCCUUUGACAGUUUUUUGCCCGUUGUCUUGGUACGUAUAGAUGGCGUCUAUUGGCGUCUCUCCAUACCAAGAUGUCAACGUCCCCUGAGGUAAAACCACUGAUAUCUCCUGGUAUCAUAUUCCUUUUCGUGAGACUAUGCAAGGCGGGACGAAGUUACGAUCGGUCCGCAGGGUUUCCAAACAGUCAAACCCUAAAGAUUUAAGGCGUCGAGCCAGACAUGGGGACUGAUAAAAGUUAUCCAUCCACAGUGUACCCUUUACGCUCCAAGCCCUGGAUCAGCUUCAAUACAGUUGCCUGGGUAGAGGCCUCUAGUGGAUUUGCAAACUGCUGCGGGCAAGAUCUCUUAUGAGCGUGAAUAGCAAACCGCCAUAAGUAGCCGGUUAGAUAUAUAUAGACUUCGUAAGUUUUAAUACCCCGAGUCGCAGCUUUAUUCGGAAUAAGCUGGCCGAAUUCGAGCCAGCAUUUCCACAUCAAAAGACUAUAAACAAUUCUGUGCCGGAGUACACAUUUUUUGUAAUUUACAGUUCAAAUGCGAUUAUUCUGGCGCACACAUGUAUUUGUCGAUAAAAUUAAGGCAUUUACUAAGUAAUAUAAAACAAUCAAUGGUAAUGUAUGCGCUGAACCCAGGAGUUGAUAAAAUGUCAACGGAGGUACUCCAGUAUUCCUCUAAUCGGCUCUUAACCACAAUCCCCAUCGCCGAUAGGAUACAAAAAAAUCGGUAGAGCUCAUCAACCGUGGUAGAUAAAGAGAUAGAUAGAUAUUCUUUAUUUGCACACCACAAA
rnacentral:lncRNA from 1 species